CCAUGUUACUCUUUAUGAUUCAAAAGGACUUUUACCUUUCUAUCUACAGCAGGCAUUCUCCUUACCUCCAGAGAAUCACUUUUUCUACCUGAUCUUCUUAGGACAUGUGCAAAGUUAAACUUUUCCAUUCAACCUCAGAAGCAUCUGAUAAUAUUUCAUAGGAGAAAGUCACCAAUUCUAAGCUUAUAAGCAUUUAUUUUAUCGACCUUAUCUACUCUUUAUGUCAUACAAACACACUCACAACUAAAAUCUGACAAGACAAUGUCCCAUGGGGUGAUUAACAAUUAACAUAUUGGAAGUGACAGAGAUCUACGUUUCAACCUAAUUCCAUAUGACUUAGGGCACACUACUCAUGUUUUGUGAGACUGCGUUCUCAUCCAUAAAAUGAGCAUAGUACUUACUUUACAGAGUAGUUAUAAACAUUAAAUAAUGUAUAUCAUGGUUUCUAAAUAUAAAAUUAUAAGGCAUUAUUAACAUUAUUCUUAAAUUCAAAUAGAGCUUGUAACUCCUUGAGAAGAUAGGUAUUCAAAUAGAUACAGUACUACCAUGUUACACGACCCUAGAAAGGCAUAAUUUCCAUCAUAUUAUAUAUAAAUAACUGGUAAGAUGGUAUGUCUUAUCAGUUCUUGUUAAUAAAAAGCCUCUUAAUGGAGUUAGGAGUCCUAGGAAUAUGCAAUUUGUAGAAUUAAAUAUUUGUAAAAUCAAAAGGACAUCAUCUAUAACAAGUAAUGCUAAUGGAAGGACUGAUGCUUUAUUUUGAUAAACAAAAGAAU
rnacentral:lncRNA from 1 species